AACUUGGAGUAGCAACGGACAAGCUUGUAUUUGGAACUGGGAUUACUUUUUCAGUUGAGCCAGGUAAUCAAGAAGAAUCUGCCCCAGAAGUUAUUUUGCUUAAAUCAAAGGAACCUAAACAAUAUGACAACAAACUGAAUGUGGCUUGUUUGGCAAGGACUUUCUACUCUAAGAACAUCAGCCUUGAUGUGCCCAAGAGUGAAAUUGUUUAUGAUUUGAAGGCACCUCUUGUCACAUCUGCGGGGCUGUAUAGUACCAUGAAGGUAGCUGAAGUGGAACUAGAUGCAGAUGUGACCUGCAAGGCUACACACAAUGGGAAGAAGACUACAGUCAGCAUAAGAAGACUGCCAGAAAAGAAAAUUAAAGAAUUCAAAACCGUUAAUGCUUGCAACAUUGCAGAUGCCUCUACAAAAGAUCUCAAAAUGAAGAAAGUAAAUAUGCUGUUCGUGGCUGUUUUGGGUUUAAGAAUCCUGCUGGCAAAAACCAUCACCUUUAACACAAUCAUGAGUAUCAAGCUGUUUGCUAGUCCAGAAUACCUGAGGUUCUAUCAGAAAACUUCUGCUGAUUAUUUCAAGUGGCAGAGUAUAAAGUCUGGAUAA